UAAAUGUUUAAUCAGACAUCUGCAAAUGUAAUACUGUGGCAGCUAGACCGUGGCAGUUUAUAUUAAGUAGCUAUAUGUGGGGCUGGCCUGGUGGCGCAGCGGUUAAGUUUGCACGCUCUACUUCAGUGGCCCAGGGUUCACAGGUUUGGAUCCCGGGCGCGGACCUAGCACCGCUUGUCAAGCCCGUCUCUUACAGCAGCCCACAUAAGAAAGAGGAAGAUUGGCACAGAUGUUAGCUCAGUGACAAUCUUCCUCAAGCAAAGAGAGGACGAUUGGCAAGAGAUAUUAGCUCAGGGACAAUCUCCUUCACCAAAAAACCCAAAAGUAGUUAUAUGCAAAUUAUAUCUUCUAUGGAAUGUGCAUAUAUCACAAUAUAUUUGUUAUGCCGUAGGGUAUGGCCUCCAAAAAAAAAGAAUACGUAGGUCUCCAUAAAUGUCUUUAAAUGGCCAUGACUGACUGACAAAUAAGUUGUAAGAUAGUAAGCCCCCUGUCGUUGGAGGUAUGCCUCUCUGGGAUGCUGUAAAAGCAGUUCCUAAACACCAGGUGACCCCUGUGUCUUGUUUCCACCCAGAGCCCUCCUAUUUUGUCAUCUGCGGGGCUCGGAUUCCUUCCCUCCCACACACACAAACAAAAGUUGCUGGAAGAGGCCUUUGCCAUCCAAAGCACAUGUCCCCAGCUUUCUGCAGAGGAACCUGGGGUGUGAAACUCGCCAGAGGUAACACAGCAAGUCAGACUUCCACAGGGACUCACCCGCAGAGUCCAGAUUCCCAGCCCAUGCCCUCUCCACCCGGUCCCUGCCUCCCCGGCCAGUUCUGCCGCUGGAUGGCAGAGGUUUGGGCCUCGCUGCAACACUGCAACGUUGCCUCCCCCAGAAGGACAAGGCAGAUCUUCGUUUGGCACAGUCCAACUCCUGCCCUGAGACCGCCCUCCGCAGGCCUUCCCACAUCUGCCGGCCUGCUGCCGGCUGGGGACUUUUGCCAAGUCACACAGCACCAUAAACCUUGAUUUCCUCCUCUGUCAAACAGAGAUGAGUAACGGCGUGCGUGUAGUCUGUGUUGCAGAGAUUAAACGUGAUAAGGCAUGUAAAGAUUGGCGCUUCCAAAGUGCCCGAUAAAUGGGAUAUGAUGUUGUUACGAUGGUUGUUUUCAAUCUGCCUUUAGGCAAUCCAGUAGGUAUUAAUUGAGCCGCCCUGAAGUGCCUGUCGGGGCACAAGGCAGCAGGGAUCCUGGCCCUCAGCAGCGCUCACUUUCAGUGGGGAGAGAGAAAUAAUGAACAAAUAGGGAAGCCAGGAAAAUGCCAGGGAAAAAUGGUGCUGCGGAAGCCAAAUGAAGGGGGCUAGGACAGAGGUGAGGGAGCAGCUGCGGGGGUCAAGGAGGGCCCACUGUGGAGCUGAUUUUGCAGCCUGAUGUGACUGUCCAUGUCGGCGUGGAUCACAGCAGAGCUCCAGGGUGGAGUGAGCGGCACGUCCAGGGCACCGGAACAAGAUGUCUCACUCGGUGCACGUUUGGACACCAUCCCUCAUCACCCAGACAACCCGGUGCAUCUUUCGGAUGGCCACAUGGCAUGCUGCGUGUGCACUUUCCCACCGGUUCCAGCCCCGGCUAACGCUCACAGUGCUGUGGGGAAUCCCAGGACGCUUGCCUCAGGCUCCGGAGUUGCGGUGAGCAGGGGCCCCUGAGCUCCCAGCAGUGGAU
ensembl:lncRNA